rnacentral:rRNA from 1 species
CCUACGGGGGGCUGCAGUGAGGAAUAUUGGUCAAUGGACGAGAGUCUGAACCAGUCAAGUAGCGUGAAGGAUGACUGCCCUAUGGGUUGUAAACUUCUUUUAUAUGGGAAUAAAAUGUUCCACGUGUGGGAUUUUGUAUGUACCAUAUGAAUAAGGAUCGGCUAACUCCGUGCCAGCAGCCGCGGUAAUACGGAGGAUCCGAGCGUUAUCCGGAUUUAUUGGGUGUAAAGGGAGCGUAGGUGGAUUGUUAAGUCAGUUGUGAAAGUUUGCGGCUCAACCGUAAAAUUGCAGUUGAAACUGGCAGUCUUGAGUACAGUAGAGGUGGGCGGAAUUCGUGGUGUAGCGGUGAAAUGCUUAGAUAUCACGAAGAACUCCGAUUGCGAAGGCAGUUCACUGGACUGCAACUGACACUGAGGCUCGAAAGUGUGGGUAUCAAACAGGAUUAGAUACCCUGGUAGUC